GAUGAACGCUGGCGGCGUGCCUAAUACAUGCAAGUCGAGCGAACAGACGAGGAGCUUGCUCCUCUGACGUUAGCGGCGGACGGGUGAGUAACACGUGGAUAACCUACCUAUAAGACUGGGAUAACUUCGGGAAACCGGAGCUAAUACCGGAUAAUAUAUUGAACCGCAUGGUUCAAUAGUGAAAGACGGUUUUGCUGUCACUUAUAGAUGGAUCCGCGCCGCAUUAGCUAGUUGGUAAGGUAACGGCUUACCAAGGCAACGAUGCGUAGCCGACCUGAGAGGGUGAUCGGCCACACUGGAGCUGAGACACGGUCCAGACUCCUACGGGAGGCAGCAGUAGGGAAUCUGCCGCAAUGGGCGAAAGCCUGACGGAGCGGCGCCGCGUGAGUGAUGAAGGUCUUCGGAUCGUAAAACUCUGUUAUUAGGGAAGAACAAAUGUGUAAGUAACUAUGCACGUCUUGACGGUACCUAAACAGAAAGCCACGGCUAACUACGUG
rnacentral:rRNA from 1 species